GCAUAGGCUGCCUCUCGUCAAUCAAAUGCAAUCUCCAAAGUAGCACAUUGAAGGGAAUGUGCAAUGAAUACUAAAAAAGGAAAAAUGAACCUGCAAAUAAAUCGCAGCUGGCAGCUUCUUAAAAUCCUAAUCUCUUCAUUUAAUGAAAUACAAGUGAUUUUCAGUUUCAGCAACCAAGACAAAAUAAAUCUUCUACAUGGAAUACCAAAGUAAAACGAGGGCCGAACUUCAUUUAAAUCAGGACAAGAAGAGGUCUAAGGAAUCAGCCAUUGGUUUGAGAGUUGAUGAAGAUACGUCAUCAUUUUUGCUGAGAUGGUUUCCCCCAGUGAGAAAAUUUGAAAUCUGGGGUUUAUACCCAGUGCUGAGACCAGGAAUAUACACAGCUGUAGUGUUGUUAGUAUUGCCUUUGAUGAGACCAUUUCAAUAAGAAGAAAAGAAGAAAGGAGG